CCUACGGGUGGCUGCAGUGGGGAAUAUUGCACAAUGGGGGAAACCCUGAUGCAGCAACGCCGCGUGAGUGAAGAAGUAUUUCGGUAUGUAAAGCUCUAUCAGCAGGGAAGAAGCUGACGGUACCUGAGUAAGAAGCCCCGGCUAACUACGUGCCAGCAGCCGCGGUACUACGUAGGGGGCACGCGUUAUCCGGAGUUACUGGUUGUAAAGGGAGCGUAGACGGUGAGACAAAUCUGAAGUGAAAACCCCGGGCUCAACCCCGGGCCUGCUUUGGAAACUGCCUGACUGGAGUGCUGGAGAGGCAAGCGGAAUUCCUAGUGUAGCGGUGAAAUGCGUAGAUAUUAGGAAGAACACCAGUGGCGAAGGCGGCUUGCUGGACAGUAACUGACGUUGAGGCUCGAAAGCGUGGGGAGCAAACAGGAUUAGAGACCCUGGUAGUC
rnacentral:rRNA from 1 species